GUAUGUACAUAAAAUUUCGUAACGAUUCGAAUCGUCGAUCAACUCCGUUAAACUUGAUCUAAAAUAUUUAAAGUACUUAGAAAAUAAAUUAUGCGAUUUUUUGAUAUUAUUUACCUAGUGAAUGAAGGGGCUCAAAAUCAACGGCUGAAAAUAAAAAUUUUACAAAACGUGAUAAUAUGACAUUAAAAUUUUAGAUCAAAAAUAUUGAUCUUGUUUUAUAUAGUAUAAAGAAUUUUUUAUCAAAAAUUCACGUGAUUAUAUAUAUAUAGAGUGAGGCUACUCUGCUAUCGGAAGCACGGAGCCUUCCGUGCUUCCAGCUCGUUUUCGAUGUUGCGACUUUCGAAUCGUCGAUCGGCUCCGUUAAACUUGAUCUAGAGUAUUUGAAGUACCUAGAAAAUAAAUUUUAUGAUUUUACGAUAUCAUUUGCCUAGUGAACGAAGGGGCUCAAAAUCAACGGCUGAAAAUAAAAAUCUUACAAAAUGUAAUAAUAUGACAUUAAAAUUUUAAAUCAAAGAUAUUGAUCUUGUUUUAUAUAGUAUAAAGAAUUUUCUAUCAAAAUUUCACGUGAUUUGGAUAUUUCUACACCGUUAAACUUGCAAACGGCUCACUACGGCCAUUGAAAUUUGUUGAUUUUGAGCCCAUUCGAUCACUAGGCAAAUGAUAUCGAAAAAUAAUAAAAUUUAUUUUCUAGGUACUCCAAAUACUCUAGAUCAAGUUUAACGGAGCCGAUCGACGAUUCGAAAGUCGCAACAUCGAAAACGAGCUGGAAGCACGGAAGACUCCAUGCUUUCGAUAGCAUAGUAGCCUCACUCUAUAUAUAUAUAUAUAUAUAUAUAUAUAUAUAUGCAACUAAUUGUUUUCUUUCCCGUACUUUCACUACAUAAAAUUUCGUGACGAUUCGAGAAGCGACAGUUGCAUCGCUUUAAACUGUUCGUCUCUCGGAUCUAACGUGAGGAUCCGCCAUGCCCAUGACACGGGUAUAUCUUCCGAAACCAUCUUGAGUCGUUGAGAUUGCAGAAUUGUGUCUCAGUGCAUUCGGGCUCGAGCGUUGUCUUAAAAAUAAUUCUUUUAAAUAUAAAAUGGGCUCGAAUAUGGCAAAAACAGGGCAUGACCGGACGCGGACCGGGCCGGGCCGGGCCACAUGUUUGGUUUUCUGGGGCGAGACUCGACCCGAGACUUACUUAGUCAGAACCGGGUUUUGGGCCGAGUAGAGAACGCAGAGAACUUCGUACGCGGAAAUAUCUGCGAUUUUAUGCAUCUUCUCUGCAAAAUGAAAAUAGAAAAUAAAUAAAAAAAAAAUUGAUGUUAACAGAGGUGCAGAGAUAUUCUUUUCGUCGUUUGUGAAACUCAACUUAUAUUUGCGCUAAGACAGUGGUCUCGUACGUGUAUGACUGAAUGCAUUUUCCAUGCAUUUAUCUUUUAUUUUUUCAUUGUCUUUUUUUCUUUUCUCUUUUUUUUCUUUUCUGUUUUUUAAAGAUUAGCAAGAAAAUUGGCACGUUUGGUUUAAAGAAUUUGAGACUUCAAAUAAAAAAUCAAAAUAAGUGUGGAUUAAAAGAUUGGCAUUUUAAUUUCCACUCUGAGGGAAUUGAAUCCCUCUCGUCAUGGGGUUAAGAGCCAACUUUGAUUUCGAAGUGAUUGAGUAAAAUAAUUUUUUUUUUCUUGACCGAUAAUUAUUUUGAAUUCGCCGUCGAAAAAUUUGAUGAUUAGUAUGUGAGAUUUCAGAUUUAAAGCAUUGUUGCUUUAUAUUUAUAAGUAAAUGUAUUUUCAAAAAGAUUAUCAAAGCCGGUAGAAUACUAUUUUUCUCAAUUCAAGCAUAUUAGGAGUGCCGAAGAAUAUAUUAGACUUAGUUUUCCGAUUAUAUUUGCAAAGUCUCAGAAUGCUAUGCUAGAUGACAUGCAAUGCUAUAUAUGCUGCAUGAGAAUAAUCAUUUGAUUCGUGUUUGCUUGCUGGUACAAGCUGCGCAUAUUAUUCUAAUCGAGUUGCGAUUUCCAUUAACGAAUUCUUUUGUCUAGUUUUACUGAAAAAUAUGUUUACCAAUCUACCCUCAUUUUCAAAAUAUUUCUUAUUAAUCUAGUCUCACUUCAAGGGAUUAAGAAAACAAUAAAAAUUUAUUUUUAGUGGUAAUUAAGAAAGGUCUUUCUCUCCCUUUCCGUGGUACGUACCUACUUUUCUCUCUCUAACUCUCUCUCUCUCUCUACCCUCCCCCUCUCCCCACCGGUUCUCUCUCUCUCCUCCCCCCUCCCCCCACCGGUCUCUCUCUAGUAAUCUAGUUCUCUCUAGCUCUCUCUCUCCUCCUCCUCACCCCACCGGUUCUCUCUCUAUCCCCCAUUCUCUCUCUAACUCUCUCUCUCUCUCUCUCUCUCCUCCCCUACCUCUCUUCACCUCCACCCCCACCGAGAGAGGGAGGAGAGAGUGAGUUAGAGAGAGAAGGCUAGAGGCUGGUCGCACUACAAUAAAAACGGUCUAUAGCGACACUUUUAAAUAUAGGUGCAUGUCAAAAAAGUACUGCUAGCUAAAAUUACCGACACUUUUAAAAAGUGUUGCUAUAUGUGGGGUCGCUAGGUAUAUAGUGACAGUUAAAGAGUGUCGCUAUAACCUAAAAGAGUGCUGCUAAUUUACCAACACUUAUUUAAGCAUUUAGCAACUGCCGAAAUUCUAUCUCGUUGGCUGCGGUGGCUGAGGAGGACGACCGUAAAGGCUCUUCGUCUAGAAUUUCAGUGGAUUGAGUGAAGAGAGAAGAAAUGAUAGUAAUUGAUUUUUCUUUUUUUUUUCUUUUCCGUUUGUAAUCGGGCCAAAUGGACUGGGUGUGGUGGGUUGAGUAGAGUAAUCUUUUAUUUUUGGUUGGAUUGGGCUUUAUAUUUAGGCAUUAGUAGAUGUGUUUUUAAGUUUUAGCAUAAAUGGGACACUUACUCAAAAGUGUUCCAAACAUGUGUCCCUAUAACCUAAUUCUGUUGUAGUGUCGGGAUGGGGGUAGGGGUGGGGGUGGAGGUGAAGAUAGGCGGAGAGAGAGAGAGAGCUAGAGAGAGAACUGGUGGGGGAGAGGGGAGAGGGGAGAGGGUAGAGAGAGAGAGAGUUAGAGAGAGAGUUAGAGACAGAAAGGAGGGUACAUAGCCGGGAAAGAAAGAGAAAAUCUCUCUUAAUUAUCACUAAAAAUAAAUUUUUAACAUGUUUUUUUUUUUGUUUUUCUUAAUCAGUUCAAAUAAGACUAGAUUAAAAAAUAUUUUGAACAUGAGGCUAAAUUGGUAAAUUUGUUUUUCAAUAAGACUAGACAAGAAAUUGGCUCGAUUUCCUUAUAUAUGCUUGAGUUAGAUUUUGCCAAUAAUAUAUUGACUAGUACAUGUCAUAUACAUAUAUUGGUUUUCGGUGCAUUAUAUAGAACUGCUAACAAAGAGUGCUGUUUAAUUAAUUUCUUAUUAUAACCGACUUUUUCUAAAGCAAAUGGCAAAGGAUUUGAUGGUUGAUACUUGAGACCCAAGUUCGAAUCCUAGUUGAAUCCUUUAUGUUGAUAUUCCACGAUAUUCCAGGUUACUGAGUUAAAAAGAUUUUAAUAAUUAAUUUUCUUGGGAGGAAAAGAUUCUUAAUUGAGACCGUUGGUUGUUAUAACCAAAUUAGUAUGCGAGUCCUCUUUCGUGGAAUGCUAACCCCAAAAGUUUGAGUUAACGUUUGAGCUGUUCCUUUUCGUGCUCUAAAAUGUCGAAAAUAAAUGGAUUAGCUGGAUUAAAAGUUCUCGUUCUUACUUCGUUUUCAGUGACAAAUGGACCUGCAGAAGUGGUAGUUGUUGGGUGAGAGAUGUAAUAGAUCAGAAGGCUUGCAAAUAUAGCACAGGUACAACAUCAAGUGCAACUUCACAAGGUAAGAAUUCCUGCCAAGUUGGCCAUAACGGUUGGGAAAUUAAGAACAGGAUAGAGUUGUUUCUUUAUUUCCACAAAUGUGGUCACUUUUGUAUCUUGCGCGUUUGUCUUCUUUUAUCGCGUUAUAUAUAUAAACAUAUAUCUAUAGAUCGUAGCAACUUAAGUAGACCUGAUCCUGUGAUCAUUUCUCUAAAAAUCUUUUUUUUUCUUUCUUUUUUUAAUCAUAUUCAUUCGAGAAGUCUAUGUAUGCUGGAUAUAAGAACAGAUAAAUACCUCUUGCAUGAUAGAAUUGAAUAUAUAGCUCUUGGUUUACUCUUUCCUGUUUUGCAUAUUGAGCUCUUCUUUCCUAUUUGUGGCAAUUUAUUUACAGGAAAAAGCUUAAUUAACGAGAUAAUUUCUAAUCAUUUUUUAUGCGCUUUGUUCUCGAUCGUUCCUGUUCUCAUGAUUAAUUGCUAGCGCUGAAGCGACAUUGAAUACUGUUUCUUCUUAAUUAGCUUGGUUCUUAUUAUUAAUUCGUGAUCAGAGUCCCGUUGUCAACAUCGGGGGGAUUCGUGAUCAGGGAUUGACCAAUGAUUUCGCAGUGCUAAAUUUAAGUCACAACCACUAGGCUAUGUACGAAGGUUGUUAUAUAUAGUUGAAAUCAUAAAGAUCUGAUGAAAUUAGCAUUAGAUUUGAUGGACUUUAGAGCUACUAUAAUACGUGCCUAGCAACUGUGCUGCUCAUUUUUAAAAGAGGAUUUGUUAGAUAUCAACAGUGACUCAAAUAUUAUUCACUUGUGCAGUUCUUGCUUCUCGAACAUGGGCUUAGAUAUAUAAGGUUAAUUUAGCAGGUUAUUAAUUUAUCCAUAUAUAUAUAUAUAUGUUGAUUCCUCUUGUCCUUAAAAAAAGUAAUCGAGUGCAAGGAUACUGUGUUUUUAGUGCGAAUCACUUACGACUCGCGUGAGUGGCGGAUUUGCGCUUGAUUUUGAUCUAAACAAGUAACUUGUCAAAUGAAAUGUCUGUCGAAGAAGAGAAAUGAUCGAUCGAUGAAUCCAAGUUUACGACCAGACCAGUUUUGACUGAAGUUAACAAUAGAACUUUUUCCAUAAAUUAUAAAAUAGGUUGAACAAGAUAUAUAUUCACGAAUUAAUGGUCUCACAUGUACCCUUUUAGGUGAUAUUUCUUGUAUGUGGUAGGUCCAUUAAAAUAUCACGCAUGUGUACAUCCAGGUACUGGUGAAGGGGAGAGUCUCUGUGUAAAUUAUUCUCAGCCUUUUUCAUGUGGUUUAACUUUAGCUUGUUGCCAACGCCAAAUGAUGCAAGGAUUGGAGAAAAAAGUAGGCAUAGAUAACAAAGCAGAGGAGAAAAAAAAGGAAGCAAAGGUGAAAAGCCCCUUUCCUUCCUUUUUAGUAGCUGAUACUUGUCGCAUUGACUCCUUGUAGUAGCUGAUGCCACCACUACUAUCCUUUUUCAGCUGCCUCCUAUUGUAGGAUUAGUUGUUAUCUACUUAAUUUUCUAACUCUAGCAUGGUUUAGUUUUAAGGGGCAAUUGUUUAUAUAUCCUUAUAAAAUUUUUUAUUUUUUUAUUUAUCCCUCUUAGAAGGCUAAUAUUGAAAAUAUCUUUUUUACGUUCCAACCUAUUUCAAAUAUACUCAUAAAGUUAAAUACUAUUAAUGAGCUCUGUUAUCUCUAUAAAAUUACUAUUUUGCCCUUUAAAAUAUACCUUUCUACCAUCACUGAUUUUUCUUAUUUAUUCUUAAGUUAGGGGCGCAAAAAUUAUUUUGCUUUUUGGUCAUUUCAAAUAUACACUUCUACCAUCACUAACAUUUCUUAUUUGCCCUUAAAUGAAGGGCAAAAGAAAUAUUUUAAUUUUUUAAAACUCUGGUAGAUAGAUAUUUAACUCACGUUUAACUCAAAUUAACUUACCGAGUGCCGACUAUAAGGGUAUUUUUGAAUAACGGAGAAAUAUAUAAAGGGUAUAUUAGAAAGAAAAAAAUAAAAAUAAAAGAGAUAUUUUUAAAAUUUUAAGAGGUACAUAGGCAAUUAUCCCUGGUUUUGAAUUCGAUUUGCACAAACCAAAGGAUAUUAAUUAGGGACUUCUUUUGGUGCUUCAUUAAAUCCAAUAAUCAUAUUUGCAACUGGUCGACGAGAAAAAUACUGAAAUGUUUAAAAUAAAUACAAGCCCGCAAAAAGCUCAUCGAUCGUUAGCGAGGAAUGUCUCCAGCUCGAGUCCAUGUCGAGAGAGAUGGUGGGGCUUAAAUUGGGUGUUGGCCGCACCAACUCGGCUGCUAGCUCUUGCUUCGACAUCCACAUUGAGUGUCGCCAUCUGUUUUUCUCCACCUUGCCUUAUUAUUUGUGACGUACAACCAAAACCUUAAACUAAAUCUUUAAUCGGAUACAAUUCCACGCAAUAAAGUCUUGCUUUUGAACUUCAAAUAGGAAGGCAUGCAUAUUCGGUUAUCUUCCUUUUUGGGCGUGUUCGUUGGGAUGAAAGUGGGGAGGGAUAAAAUCGUUUUCGGCCAUAAACCAUUACUUUCUUUUCAAUCUAAAAUCCACUUCAAUUCAAAGCUCAGUUUUUGUGAAAUAAGCAGGCCUUAUAUGUAUACACUUUUUUUUUUGACUACAAUGACUCACUAAUUCUGAGCUUGAACUCAUUUUCCUCUGAUUAGCGCACAAUCAAAUAAUGUUGGCUUAAAUGAUAUAGAGUAGGACUUGUGUGUUAUUAAAAGUACAGAGGUCUAUGUGCUUCUAAACUGUUUUCAAUAAUAAAACUUUCAAAUCGACAAUCGACUCUGUUAAACUUGAUUUAGCAUAUUUGAAAUAUUUAAAAAAUAAAUUUUAUGGUCAUUUACCUAGUAAUCGGAAGGACUCGAAGUCAACAGUUGAAAUUACAAAUUCCACAAAAGUUAUGAUAUAGCAUUAAAAUUUUCGACUAGAGAUAUUAAUUUAGCCGUAGAUAGUAUAAAAAAUUUUCUAUUAAAAUUUCAUCUGAUUUGAAUACUUAUAUACCAUUAAACUUGAAAAUGAAAAACGUCAACCAAUAUUAGAUAUUGUUGAUUUUGAAAUCUUUCAAUUAUUAGGUAAAUAAUAUCGAAAAACAGCAAAAUUUAUUUUUUAGAUAUUUCAAAUACAUUAGAUUAAGUCUAACGAAGCUGAUCGUUUAUUCGAAAAUUUAAUUAUCGAAAAUGGCUUAGGAGCACGAGGGGUCCGUGCUUCUGAUAGCAUGCAAGUUCUACUCAAUGAGAUAUAUAUUUCUAAAUCUUAAGACGGUAAGGCCCUUGUUUUUUUCCUUAAAAAUAUUAUUAUUCAAGUGCAUGAGUCAUGGAAUAGGGAGUCCCUACUGGGAAUUUGAAUUCCUAUUCGCUCAUGAAAUAUGUUUGAGUUCCUAAUUAGUUUGAAAAGUUUGGAUUUUGUGCGGGGGUACUAUUGCGCGCAGGAAAGUUAUGCAAUCCCCUUCCUCAACCUUUGUGUUGAUGCCAUGAUUUUAAUGUUAUAUAUAUGAUUGAGCUAAUUUAGCAUGAGUCGGCAUCUUAGCCCACUUAAAAGCGUAAUUUGAGCCAAUUGAAAGAAGGGGUUGGUUAGAGUAGGAAAGCUGUCAUGUCCUUGUGGCUCUAUGGCGGGUCCCUUCUGAUUGAGACCACGGGAUACAACUUUGCUAAACAAAUUCCCUAACAUGUUCAUUUAUAUUAAUCACAUAUAUAUUUUUAUUUAGUCAAUGAAGUUUGAUCAUGAUGUUUAAUUAUUUGAGAAGUUUCCUCUAGGUCGCAAUUCAGGGAUUAGAUUGUCAAUUAACCUUUUCAAUUUUCUUUUUAAAAUUUUUUUUCCUACUAUUUUGCUGUUCCUUUUGUAUUGCCAAUUACAAUAGCUCCAAGCCUCUAGCUAGCCAUUUCCUAAUAAGAAGGUUCAAUUUGUUUGGGUGAUGUGGUGUCCUUAACAAGCAUGUGUACGUAGCCUUUUAGCUUUAACCCUUAAUUAUUUGCUAGCCCUAUAAAUUAAAGACACCGUCAAAAGACUCAUGAACCAUAUAUUAAACUAAAAUCAGAUCGUAAGCGCAAGCAUUUUAUGUUACAAGAAAUAUGUCAAUUAGUGAUCGAUCUAUACUCAAACCUUAAAACCGCGUAUAUAAAUAUGUCGACAGCGUCAUCAAGUGAUAAAAUGCAAGGAUUUCCACUCCUAAUUAAUCUGCUAAAUUAUUUUUUUCGGAGAUAAUAGAAUAGAUAUAGAAUAUUUGGCUUGUUUGGCUCGAAUGGAGUUUUUGUAUAAUUGGCGGUAUAUAUAUCAGUACGUACAGUGCUAUUCUAAAAAAUGAUUAAUAUUUUAUUUUAGAUGGGCUUGCAAUCCCCUCAGUCGCUACGUAGCUAGAUAAAAAUAGUGAGAUUAUUUUCACAAAUAAAAACUUUUUUUUAGCCUUUAAAAUCUUUAGAGGCACGUCCUAUAAUUGCCAUAUAUUGAAAAUUAUAAUUAAUCGAAGCAGUGAAGCUGCUUUUGAAGGACAAAAAAUUGGAAAUCAGGUAAACUGACACCCAAUAAUAUAGCUAUUCCAUAAGAUUGAUCUGAAGGGGUAAAAAAAAAAAAAAAUCUAAAUAACCAGAACAACACCGUUUAUAUAUAGAGGAGGCAAAUUAAUUAAGAGCAUAUAUGAACAUUUAGUCAUUCAUAAUCACGUAAGCAAAAUUGCACUUUAUUAUGAUUUUAGUUAGAAAUAACCUCAGCAAGAAAAGGACUCUUAAUUAGUGCGGUAGAGAAGUUAGUGUGAAUAUGAAGACUCAGUGCGACGAGAGUAGUUUGCUUUGCUUUCGUUAUGUUUGCGUGCAUGGGGAGUUUUUACGACCCCACGUCGCAGAACACGUGGAGUAUCCAUAAUGACGUGCGUAAUAUCCAUCUAACUUAUUAUUAUACGGAAGCUGACGAGUGCUUAAAUUAACUGUUCCACAAUUAAUAUGAUCAUUUUUAAAAAAAUUUGAAUGCAAAAAACUAUACUAAUUAUAUAGUCAUGCAAAUUUUCUUUAUUCCGAACUUUUGUGAAUGGCCAUAAGUUAAUUGUGUGGCACAAUCUGCAUGAGCUCAGCCAAUCAUCAUAUAUAAGUAUAUAAUUAGCUCAUAUCAAUUUAAUUACAAAAUUUGUUUAACUAGCAUGCAUCUACCAUCCUACGUAGUUGAUUGUUUGAUAUGAUGGGUACGUGAAAAUCAACUUUUUUAUAAACUUAGUUGCAAAUGGUGAAUCAAUUAGGAUUCGAAUUUGAAAUCUCAGAUAUCAACCAUCAAUUCCUUUGCCACUUACGCUAGAGACAGUCGGUGUACGUGAAAAUCAAUUAAUGUACAGUUUGAUCGUAAAAUUUCAUUGAACUACCGGGGGAGUCAAAUUAAGAUUAAUUUUUCUUCGAGAGUUGAUUUAUUCCACUGAAUGUGUGCGUUGCGGGAGUCUCUUAUAUUAAAAAUACAAUUAAGUUUUUGCCUAACUAUCAGGAUCACAUCAUUUUUCUUCAGCCACUCUUUGUUUGUAAAUGUUAUUUAGAGAAAUGCUUUAAUACACUAUAAAUAUUAAAAUCUAACUCUCAAUUAAUAAAGAGUAUAAUUGGAUUUUACAUAAAGUAAUCUGUUGAACAAGUUACCAAUUUGAAUUAGUUAAUAUAACAAAUUUGGAAAAAAAUUAGUAGUAUACAUCAAAUUUGUUAGCAUUCUAUAAAUAUUAAAUAUUUUAUUUACUUUUGUUACUUAUCAAAUUAGAUAAUACCUAAUUUGUUAAGUAUCCAACUCAAAAAAGUAUUGAAUUUAAACUUAAUUUUUGAAGUUGGAGUUGUAAUGUAAAAUUUUAAUUUUGAAAUUUAUAUUAAACUUUUAAAAUUUGAAUCUAAAUUGUACUUUUAAUCGUAAAGCCAAAUUUUAAUUUUUGAUUUAAAUUGAAAUUUUGAAUUUGAACUAAAAGUUUUAUUUUAAAUUUGUGUUUUUUAUUAAAAAAAAUUGAAAUUGAUUUAUACUUAAGUUUUUUAUGUUGUUUUGAAUUUAACUUUAUAGUUUGGUUGUAUUUUGAAUUCUAACUAUUGUUGUAGGUAUUUGAGAUUAAGGUCAUAAUAUUCUUAGUGGACUAAAAUAUUUUGCAAUGAUCAAAAUACCCAUUAGAUAGGUAUGUGGUGAAUAGUAACCUAUAUAUGCCUCAAUAGUAAGGGUCAUUUUUAAAAUCAUGUUACAUCUCAACCAUCUAUUAAGAAAAAUAAAUCCUCAAAAUUUAUAUAGUGUAUUAAAGUAUUACUCUUACUAAUAUGUUUUUGGAAUAGUUGGUUAUCAAGAUGUGUACAUGAUAUAUCUUCGAGGAAAGAUAUAUAUAUAUUACAACAACUGCUAUAAGUUAAAGACAUGUCUCAGAGCUAGCUACUGCUAGAAGUUAAAGAGUACAUGGAUGUCUCAGUCACAUGAGUGGCGCAUGCAUGCCAUGCGCUAGCUAAUUAAUCUCACAAAUUAAUUAUAUAUGUUCCAUGCAAAAUGGGGUGAUCAGUCAUUUCGCAUAAUGAACUAUAAAUAAAACCAAACAGUGGCAAGUGUACAAAUAAGCAAGCUAGCCAUUAUUAAGUUCUGGUGGCCAACUGAAAUACUAACUUUAGAGGUGGUGGUUAUAGUUCCCCCCACCCCCAUCCCCAACAAGGCCUCCACCAUUUCCUAUGGGGAGAUCUCCUUGUUGUGAUGAGCAUGGCCUCAAGAAGGGGCCAUGGACCCCUGAAGAGGACCAGAAGCUUGUUGAUUUCAUCCAAAAGCAUGGCCAUGGGAGCUGGAGAGCCCUUCCUAAGCUUGCUGGUCAUUUAACUAACAAUUAAUCCCUUCACAACAUGCAUUCAUAUAUAUCUGCUCCAUGUGUAUCUUUUGGUUGAUAUUAAAUUAUUAAUUAACAUUUGGAGCUCUUUGUCUCUCUAAUGUGUAGGGCUCAAUAGAUGUGGCAAGAGUUGCAGGCUAAGAUGGACCAACUACUUGAGGCCCGAUAUUAAGAGAGGCAAGUUUUCUGCUGAGGAAGAGCAGACCAUCCUCAACCUGCACUCGAUCCUUGGCAACAAGUACCUAAUCCUCAUCUUUAUACUCUCUCUACAGCUAGAUAUCUCUCUUUAAUUCUCUCUAUAUAUAUAUCCGUCAACUUCUCCUUAUACCUGCAUGCAUGCUCUUGAUCUGCUUUCAGGUGGUCGGCGAUCGCAACGCACCUGCCAGGUCGGACGGACAACGAGAUCAAGAACUUUUGGAACACGCACCUCAAGAAGAGGCUGAUCCAGAUGGGGAUCGACCCGAUGACCCACCGGCCCAGGACCGACUUCUUCGCCACCCUCCCCCAGCUCCUGGCCCUUGCCAAUCUCCAUGAGCUCGUGGACCACCGCCCGUGGGACGACCACGCAGCCCGGCUCCAGACAGAGGCCACCACGCAGGCGGUGAAGCUCCAGUGCUUACAGUACCUCCUUCAAACGGCGGCUGCAGUGACUGCGACCUCUGCCGCCACCAAUAACCUCAGCGGUGUCGCUGCUACCAGCGAGUCGGAACCUCUAAGCCUCUGGAGCACUCCGCAGCUCCUCUCUUCCCAAAGCCAAGUUGGUAAUGAGAUCACAGAUGAGUUUGGGAUCCCGUGUUCAUCAAUGUUGGAGCAGCUCGUGAACAAUGACGAGGCCCAUGACCUAGGUUAUAAUCGUGGUGAUCAUUUUGGACAAGGAGAGAACGGCACAAUAAGAACGCCAUUGUUAUCCCAGUGCUCACUCCCUCCACUCACAGAUGUCUCCUCUUUGAACCCUGGGGAUGCUUGUAGUACUUUUGCUUCGCCUGAUCAGCUUUUCUUUGAUGAACCGUUCAUCAUCGAGUUUCCUUGAGUUUUAUUUACGUAUAUAUAUUGUAUGCAAUAGCUAUUUAUUAUACUUUUUUUCAAAAUUCUGUUGCUGCGUGCGCCCAUGCAUUGCUAACAACUCAUAUAAACGCAAUGCUUUUUUUUUUUUUUAACAGAUACUUGUAUAUAUGUAAACACACACUUGUUCCUAUAUAUAUACACGUAGAAUGGCUUGGAUUUGAGUGGACAUUUGUAUUUAAUUAGCUAUUAAUGCCUUCUUUUUUUAAUCUCUCUUCUUUACGGAUUAAUAGUUCCCUAUAUAUUGGGUGCAUAUAUAGAACUUAAUUUGUUUUCUAUCAUACAAACUAACAUCUUAACUCCAGUAUCAAUCAUAUAAUCCCACUCAAGCAUCAUCAUUAGGAUGUUGUUUCAACUCUUCGAAUUAAGCGUAAUUAGUUUGUCACCACCUCUCCAUGUUGGGAAAUAAACAACUUAAUUAAUUACUAAUCACGCCUCUUAAAAUUUUGAAGGACCAGUACCCAUUGUCCACCUUCUUAGUAAGCAUGGUGGGUUUGAUGCGCCUUUUUCUGCAAGGGCUUCUUAAUUAGAGCCAAAUUGGGAGAUACAUAAUAAUUACUAGCAAGAUGAAACAAACCUAAAACCUUUUCACUUACGAUCAGUGCUUUGAGUUAACCUUAAUUAAGUGAGUUUUUUUGUUUGUAAAAGAUUAACUAAAACUGGGAUUGUUAGCUCAUCGUUGUCAAGGAAAUGUCAAAAGCCACAUUAAAUGAAAGAAACAGUUUACUACCUAAUCCUCUGCCCACAUAUAUAUAUAUAUAUAUCUAUAUAUAUAUAAUAUAUAUAUAUAUAUAUAUAUAUAUAUAUAGGAUACCUGAUGAAGUUUCUUAUGUCAUAGAUGAAAUAUAAAUAAUUUUACAAGGUGUAUAUAUAUCAAUUACCUAAUGAUUUGGUGCCAAGAUGUACAAAGUUGGUGGCGGUGGGAAGGAAAUGGGAGACCUCAAAUGUAUAUAUAUCUUCUUUAUUAUUAUUACUAUAUUAUCAUCAUCAUCAUUUUAUUUUUGAGUAUUAGCUAGGGACUUAUUACGGUAAGCUUAAUUUGGCCCUUUUGAGUAUGUUUUAUCCAUCGACUAUUUAUUUUUGUAAGUUCCUACAUUAUUCUAGAAGAUCAAUUAUUAAAUGAUAACUGUGCCCAAGAAAACAAAAAAAAGAAAAAAAGAAAACAAAAAACUAACUGGGCUGAAACUAGUAUAUAUCUUCCAAGUCCUUUGGAUCGAGGGAUUCAAUGGCUUAGUGUAGGCCUAUCAAUGGUUCGGGCUCGGCCAUGAUUCGAGUUACCAUUGAAACCCUUCGUUAGGCCCGUUUAUUGGACAGCUGUAUUGGAUCUUUCGGGGCCCACUUAUGGCCCACUAUUAGGCCGUUGUCAGUUCAUAAUUGAAAUAGAAAUAGAAAAUUGAAUUGAAUUGUAUAAGGAUGAAAAAUAGAAUGACAAAUUUUUAAAAAAUAUUUGGUUUAUUACUAGAAUGAAAAUCAGAAUGGACAUCUAAUAUUUUAAAAAAGAAUUUUGAUUAAGAGAGAGCGUGAUGAAGGAAGAGAAGAUCAGGGAAGUGCUUAUAUAUAAGAGAGGAUUUUGAGCAGUUUAUUUUGAAAUGAACAAAUCCGAAAUUCAAAGGCAGAUUGGAUCCCAUACAUGGAUUAGAUGGUUUCCAUUCUAGAGAGGAAUGGAAAUCAUAAUUCGAUUUCUGUAAAAACAAACAAUAACUAUCGGAUUCAGUAAAACACAUUUCGAUUUUAAAAUAUGUGAACCAAACAAGGCCUAAGAGUGGGCCUUGAAGGCCACGACACAUGUAAUUAAGUAAAUGCAGCUUUUCAAUGGUUUGCUCGUAAUGUUCCAAAAUCGCUAGUAGUUUGCUAAGUGGUUAAAUGCUCAGAGGUUGGAGGCCGAGUGCGAGUGUGAGCUUAAAUUUCAGACUCAUGGCUCUGACAUUUCAGAAGGGUUUACGAAUAAGGGGACUCCGAACUGAAUCAAAAAGAGGGAACGAAAAAGAAGAAGAAGAAUGGUCCAGACCAACUUAUGCGAGUGCUUUGCAAAUUGCAACAUCUGUGAGAAUCUUAUAUCAUUAUCUUCUACAAAAUAUUCCUCCUGCACUGACGAAAUCGUGUUAUCAUCAUAUCAUGAUUUUAGGCACAGCACAAACGAACCAACAAAAUGUAAACGCUUGAUCUGAGUUGUACAUUUCUAUAUAUUUGCCGCAAAGAGUCCCAUCAAUGAACCCAUGGUCGGAUCCACUUGUCUUUAGACUCGCGUGCAAACGAACAAAAAGAGUACACGUUCAACGCUUCUUAUCCUUUCAUUCGAGGCCAUCUUAAUUGCAUGUCCUCAGGAUGAACAUCACGUCUAUAUCUGCACGAGAUUGGAGCAAAUUUCUUAUAGCUUUGCGUACAGAAAUUUUUCGUCUAAUUUUCAAAUUCCGUUGGUUAUUCGCGAAGUUAAAUCUAACAGAUGAGAAUGACUCUCAAUUUUAGCGAACGGUUUGAUUGAGAGUUAUGCUAUUUGUGCGUAGAAAAAUUUUGCACAUAAUAUUCGAUAAGAUUAAUUUGCACCUCUCAAAGUCCGCGGGGUUGCUAAGAGAGAGUUUCAGCAAGAGUUGUGAACGGUUGUCACCCUCAUUCUCAUUUUAGUGACUUUAGCUAUGAUCCCCGUGGAAGCAGAAUCGCUAAUCGUAUGUGGUCGGCAAUGUGUUAGGAGAUUAUUUUGUGGGCCAGUAAAAUGUAUUGAUGCGAAAUCGCAUAAAAAUGGGUCAAUAAAAUGUCAUCAGCAUAGAAGACUGUAGGAUUCUAUUGCUUCUCGGCUGAGCUAUCGGGUUCGGUCCCAUUCGUGUAUAAUUCACCUCAACAAUGGCUCACCCUAGCUAACCGCGGAGGACGCAUAAUACAAGAUUGAAAUUAAGUCCCUAUAUUAGAACAUGUACAUAUUACAACAGGAGAAAAAGAAAAAGUUGGAAAAUAUGGAACAAAAUCAAUUCUAUAUAUGGUACACAAGCAUCGGCACAUACGAUAGAUAUUUGUACAGUAAAUAAAAUAUGUAAUCAAUUGAAUAUCAAGGUAUAUAGCAUGUAAUUUUUAACAAGAUCUAGAUUUGCUAGAGGUAACAUACACUUCUCUACUACGUACGUAUACUAUGUACUUGUAUUUGGAAAAUCGCAAAUUUAAUUAAAUAGAGGGCUAACAACUGUUCACAUGAAAAUGAAUUAUUUUGACUUAAAAAAACUAUUUUCUAAAUUGCUUAGCUAACUAGUAAGUGUUAUGAAAGAAAUGUAAAUAAAUAAUAAAUAAAUAAAUCUUUGAAGCAGUAAUUUUAUUUAUUAUAUAUAUAUAUAUAUAUAUAAUAUAUAUAUAUAAUAUAUAUAUAUAUAUAUAUAUAUAUAUAUAUAUAUAUGCUUCUGGAAGUACGGAGCCUUCCGUGCUUCCAGCUCGUUUUCGAUGUUUUGACUUUCGAAUCGUUGAUCGGUUUCCGUUAAACUUGAUUUAGAGUAUUUGAAAUACUUAGAAAAUAAAUUUUAUGAUUUUUCGAUAUCAUUUGUCUAGUGAUCAAAGGGGCUCAAAAUUAAUAAUUUUAAAGACCGUGGUGAGCCGUUUGCAAGUUUAACGGUGUAGAAAUAUCCAAAUCACGUGAAAUUUUGAUAGAAAAUUCUAUAUACUAUAUAAAACAAGAUCAAUAUCUAUGAUCUAAAAUUUUAAUAUCAUAUUAUCAUGUUUUGUAAGAUUUUUAUUUUCAGCCGUUAAUUUUGAACCUCUUUGUUCACUAGGCAAAUGAUAUCGAAAAAUUACAAAAUUUAUUUUUUAGGUACUUCAAAUAUUCUAGAUCAAAGUUUAACGGAGCUGAUCGACGAUUCGAAAAUCGUAACAUCGAAAACGAGCUGGAAGCACGGAAGGCUCCAUACUUCCAGAAGCAUAGUAGCCUCACUCUCUCUCUCUCUCUCUCUCUCUCUCUCUAUAUAUAUAUAUAUAGAGUACGUCUCCUGUACUUUUAAAAGUACGGAGACCUCCGUACUUAUAAGUUAUUUUUGAUGAUAAGACAUCUGAUUCGACGAUCGGCUCCAUUAAGUAUAAUCUACCCUAUUGGAACUAUUUAGAAAUUAAAUUUUAUAAUUUUUUGACAUCAAUUACCAAGCGAUCAAAAGGUCUAAAAAUAAUUAUUUAAACAGUUGAUGUAGCACGUUUCUAAGUUCAAUAGUGUAGAAGUAUCCAAAUUAUAUAAAAAAAUUAAUAGAAAAUCUUACUUAAUAUCAAUAGAAAGAUCAAUACUUUCGAUUUGAAAUUUGAGUUAGAAUAUUUUCAAAAGCACGAAGGGAUUAGUGCUUCUAGAUUUGUAGUCCUUUGAUGGAGGUAUUAUAGAGCUAGCUAGGAUGAUAGUAGCCCACCUGGAUUGAGUGGUGGUAGGUGAAAUAGUAUUUGAUUCAAAGGUUCCUAAUAGUCAAUGAACGAAUCUAAGAAUUAGAAAUCUAAAAGCAACAAUGGCUUGUUAUAGACUUUUUGAU
rnacentral:lncRNA from 1 species